UCAGUGUAUGUUCACUGGUGUUAAUAUGUCCUUUGGUUGAGUUAAGCUAUUUCAGUUGAUAUUUUAUAGUGUGUCUUUCUAUGUUGUGAUGUUACACUAUUGUUUCAGAAAAAGGGUGAAGGUUUGGUACCAUUAAAACGUUUAAACAAGCUGCAUUUGUUUGCACCUGUCCUAAGUCAGGAAUCUGAUGUUCAGUAGUUGCCGUUUGUUGAUGUGGUUCAUAAGUGUUUCUCGUUUCUCGUUUUUUAUAUAGAUUAGACCGUUGGUUUUCCCGUUUGAAUGGUUUAACACUAGUAAUUUUUUGGGGCCCUUUUUAGCUUACUGUUUGGUGCGAGCCAAGGCUCCUUGUUGAAGACCGUACUGUGACCUAUAAUGGUUUACUUUUAUAAAUUUUGACUUGGAUGGAGAGUUGUCUCAUUAGCACUCAUACCACAUCUUCUUAUAUCUAUAUAAGGAAAUUUAAUACAAGACACCCUAUACUUUUUUGGUGAAGUUUUACCUUUGAAAGAAUUGAUGAAACUUGGUCCAACAAAAAUGGGCUUGUUUUUACUGGCAAUUCAUGUAUCAUGUUUUCAUGCUGUUACUAUUUUACCACAAGCUCAAAUGUUUGACAAUUCAUAGAAACUUUGAUAAUGCCUAAUCAUCACCCUAAUGAGCAUUGAAUUUUUAGCCACAUAUUUUAUCACCAAUUUUUAAGAGUGUAAUAUGGAAUGAUUUUAUAUUUGAUCUGGAACUUUAUAAUGAUGAGUAGUAUUGUGUAAUUUAUUUUUGGAUCUGCCAGGCAGUCAAUUCCUGUUUGGGUAGACUUUGAAUUUUAUGACACCUUCUGAGCAUGGAUCCAAUUUUUCCUCACAUAUUUCUUAGAUCCUUUAUUAAGGAAUAAUUGGACAUUUCGUUUUAAACUUUUUUAUGAUGAGUUGUACCAUGUAAGCGAUUUUCAGAUCAGCAAGCAGUCACUUCCUUUUUGACGAUACUUUCAAUCUUUUAUUCCCACUUAGCAUGGAUUUUUUUGUCAAUGUCUUAUUAGGAGAUGAGGUAUAUUUUGCACAACAUUGCAUGCACCUCCUUGUAUGUAUAAGUUUGGUGUUAAAUGAAAUUGUGUGUUUUUUAUAUCUUUUAUUACAUCUUUAAUGUUUUAAAAAUAUUAUAUGUUCACUUGCAAAAUGUUUUUAUAAAAAAAACCUUGACAUGAAAUAAAACAGAGUGACCUCAAUAUCUGCAUGAUUUAUUUAACAUGUCUAUCAAUAUGUAGAAUGUUGUUUGACAAAAGAACUUUCUGAAUAGGUCAUAUAGUGGCAUUUAAUAACAUGUUGUCAACAAAACUACCGGUAGACUUUAGUUUCUUUGUUGUUAAUGAUAAAUUAUGUUUAUAUAUAUUUCUCAAUAAAUUGUUAUUAUUUUUUUAUUAUAA